UGGGGAUCCAGAGGGCAAUCCACACCCCCUUCUGAUUCAGGGGAACCUCAGACUCUCAACGUGGCUCCUUUCCGGGGACCCUGGGUCACACCAGAUGUUCCACAAGACACUCUCGACCUACUGGCAGGAGCAUGGGCACCUGGAACAAGACGAUCCUAUCACUAUGCCUGGAACGGAUGGAUUAGUUGGUGAAUGGAACAACAGGUGGACCCCAUACGUGCUCCUGUGAGUUACC